rnacentral:rRNA from 1 species
AACAAACGCUGGCGGCGUGCCUAAUACAUGCAAGUCGAACGGGGUAGCAAUACCUAGUGGCGCACGGGUGAGUAACGCGUGGAUAAUCUGCCUUAGAGUGGGGGAUAACUAGUCGAAAGAUUAGCUAAUACCGCAUAAGACCACAAGAACUGCGGUUCAAGGGGUCAAAGGUUUUUCGCUCUAAGAUGAGUCCGCGUAAGAUUAGCUAGUUGGUGAGGUAAUGGCUCACCAAGGCGACGAUCUUUAACUGGUCUGAGAGGAUGAUCAGUCACACUGGAACUGAGACACGGUCCAGACUCCUACGGGAGGCAGCAGUAGGGAAUAGUGCACAAUGGAGGAAACUCUGAUGCAGCGACGCCGCGUGAGUGAUGAAGGCCUUCGGGUCGUAAAGCUCUGUCGCAGGGGAAUAACACAAUGAAUGUACCCUGUAAGAAAGGAUCGGCUAACUUCGUGCCAGCCGCCGCCGUAAUAC